rnacentral:tRNA from 1 species
GGGUCAUAGCCAAGUGGUAAGGCAGUGGACUGCAACUCCUUGAUCGGCGGUUCAAAUCCGUCUGGCCC